rnacentral:lncRNA from 1 species
GGCAUACCUCCAACAGAAGGGUCGGAGUCCAUGGGGGUUGGUUGUAGUAUUCUUUAAUGCAAGCAUGGUGCUCGCGUUAAACGGGUGCCUUUGGAUGCGGGUAUGCCCCACGGGAUGCAAAGCUAGGCAACAGGUGAUGCUAGCACUAUCCGUCCUUCGUAAUCCUCCACGUUCGGGAAUGACGUAAAAGUUCAUAAAUUGCAAUACCCACGCUAGCAGACCAGCAGGGGAUGAUCUCUCGGUAGUGCCUUGGUGCAUUGAACGAAGUCCUAACCAUGUGUAUGUAUGUGUAUGUGUAUGAUCUGUGAAUUAUCGGAAGUACAUAUGAACCUAGAGUAUUCUCAUGUCUUUCUCCGUAGUAGUAUUUAUUUGCGUUUGAUUCUCUUGUGUAUCACAAUACCUCCAUAUUAUCACUUACCCUCUUUUUUUUUACCUUGGUUGCUCAAUUAAGAUAUAUUUAUGAACAUAGUAACUCUUUUGAUAGCCGCCUUCCUUUGGGAUAAAAUAAAUAAUAAUAUUGGAAUACUCAUGGAUGUAAUGGUACAACGUUAUAUCCGUGCGCUUGCGGAUUUAUUUAUGAUCGUUAAAUAUACUAACAAUAUGUUUGAUCACCCAAGUCCAUUUUCUUUUAUCCAUGUGAUUAAACCUUGUAUACUCGCAAUCUCACAUGAAAAACGCAGCAGAAAGUAACAAGCUCACAUGAAAAGGCAACAAUAUUGCUUUACUCAUAUGGAUAAAGGAUCUUUCAUACCAGGUCAUAUCAACUUCUGAUAAGCAAUUUCAUCAUUUGUUGACACACAAUCACCAAAAUGAUUAAUGGUCUAGUUAAGACCAUUUUCCUUACACUGACCCCUCCUCC